UUCUUUGUUUCCCCUUUCAUAGUCGCUCUCCAAAUUGUUUCUUUAGCCUUUAACUUGUGUUUUUUCUCCAAUAACAUUACAUGACUUCUUCAUCUUUGAGGCAUGUAAUUUGUUAUAUUCGGAUUUUGUUUUUUCUAUGGUAUUAUAAAUUCAAUAUCAUUGCAAAUUCCAUUAGUAUUAGACAUUUUGAUUUUGUUCUUCUUUCGUCCUUUUUGAUGUUCAAUCGUUAGUUUCGAAAAUCUAGGGUUUGGUUCAUAUACCCAAGAUUUGCAUGGAAAUUUGUCAGAUCCAUUUACAGUCAAAGACUUUGGUGAAUGGAUGAAAGUUUUCUCUAUAAUGGCCUCGAAGGAAUUUCGUAUGUUAACUACCUGGCAAAAAGGGUUACAAAAUCGGAUAAGAAGGCCAAGAGUGUCCUGGUCGGUUUUAUUUGACGAUGGAGGUUAUCAGGAAUGAAGUUUAAAUUCCGCCUUUGAACUUGGUUUUUCGUUUCUAUUUCAUUUUAAUUUUGAACAAAUUUGUUAGCUGCUUUGUAAUUUUCGUUCUUCGUAAUUGUGUCUCGUUAGUUCCCUUGUAACCUAUACUCUACAAUGAAAAGUGUGUUAAUUGGGCAAAAUAUACAUUUUAUUUUAUUAUAUUAUUAUGUGAUUAUUUCCGAUAGAUAAAUAAAUAUUCAUUUAUCUAUACUUGCCUUUCUCUAUUGCAUAGUUGAACCUCUUCUCGUCUGUCUUGAAUUGGGUGUUUGUUGAUAGUUUGUCAAAAUGAGUGCUCCUAAUCUUGUGUAUGAUCUUGAGUAAGUAAAUAUUGUUUUGUUUAAAUUAUUGUAUUUUUAUUAAUAAUAUGGUCAUCUCUUGACAUCUCUACUUUUAGCUUAUUCUUUUUUCAUUUUGAACUGCAAUGAGGAUGAUGCAGUAAUUGUUCGGAAAUUUCGUCACCUUCUUCCGGAAUCAUCAACCUUACUUCAUCUUAUAACUUCUGAUCAUUUUAUUAAAGAGAUGACUUGGGAGAAAGAAGUUACAUUCUCUCUCAAAAAUACCAAGAAUGUUCUGCAUAUACCAGAACGGGUUUCUAUUGGUGCCACAUUGGACAAGAAGAUAUUUGUUCAGUUGGUUGGCUUUGACAACGACAAAAGUUUUCUAUGUCCACUUGUCAAGAAGUCAUCUACACCUUCUAAGAUUAGUUUGUAUAAAGGUUGGAUUGAUUAUCUUGAUCAAGCAAAGGCAAAUAUGAGGGUAAAAGACAAGCUUCGCUUUCAAUUCCGUUAUCCCCAUUACAGUUUCUCUGUUGAAAUUAUAAGGAAGAAACCCAAAUAAUUUAAGAUUCAACGUUUGCGCUGGUGUAUUUUAUGAUAAUGGUGUAAUGUAUUUAAAUGAGUAGGAGCUGUUCUUUUAGGCGGUAUCGUGUUUUAACUGAAAUUGGUAUCAAAGUUUGAUAUAUGAAGCUUGAUGUGUGAUGAAUCGCGUACGGGGAUAAAUUGGGGUUUUCAAUGAAAAAGAAGACUAGUUUUCAUUAAUUUGUAUUUGUAAUUUUAAAAUAUUUUUGAACUCUAUUAUUAAGGAGUAAUUUUCUAUUGAUUUAUUUUUAA